rnacentral:rRNA from 1 species
ACGUAGGGAGCAAGCGUUGUCCGGAUUUACUGGGUGUAAAGGGUGCGUAGGCGGUUCGGCAAGUCAGAAGUGAAAUCCAUGGGCUUAACCCAUGAACUGCUUUUGAAACUGUCGAACUUGAGUGAAGUAGAGGUAGGCGGAAUUCCCGGUGUAGCGGUGAAAUGCGUAGAGAUCGGGAGGAACACCAGUGGCGAAGGCGGCCUACUGGGCUUUAACUGACGCUGAGGCACGAAAGCAUGGGUAGCAAACAG